UACGUAGGGGGCGAGCGUUGUCCGAAUUUACUGGGCGUAAAGCGCGCGUAGGCGGGCUCUUAAGUUGUGGGUGAAAUCCCGAGGCUCAACCUCGGAACUGCCUGCAAAACUGGGUGCCUUGAGGUAUGGAGAGGGAAGUGGAAUUCCAGGUGUAGCGGUGAAAUGCGUAGAUAUCUGGAGGAACACCCGUGGCGAAGGCGGCUUCCUGGUCAUAUCCUGACGCUGAGGUGCGAAAGCUAGGGGAGCGAACGGG
rnacentral:rRNA from 1 species